UUAAGCGACUAAGCGUACACGGUGGAUGCCCUGGCAGUCAGAGGCGAUGAAGGACGUGCUAAUCUGCGAUAAGCGUCGGUAAGGUGAUAUGAACCGUUAUAACCGGCGAUUUCCGAAUGGGGAAACCCAGUGUGUUUCGACACACUAUCAUUAACUGAAUCCAUAGGUUAAUGAGGCGAACCGGGGGAACUGAAACAUCUAAGUACCCCGAGGAAAAGAAAUCAACCGAGAUUCCCUCAGUAGCGGCGAGCGAACGGGGAGCAGCCCAGAGCCUGAAUCAGUAUGUGUGUUAGUGGAAGCGUCUGGAAAGGCGCGCGAUACAGGGUGACAGCCCCGUACACAAAAAUGCACAUAUUGUGAGCUCGAUGAGUAGGGCGGGACACGUGGUAUCCUGUCUGAAUAUGGGGGGACCAUCCUCCAAGGCUAAAUACUCCUGACUGACCGAUAGUGAACCAGUACCGUGAGGGAAAGGCGAAAAGAACCCCGGCGAGGGGAGUGAAAAAGAACCUGAAACCGUGUACGUACAAGCAGUGGGAGCACGCUUCGGCGUGUGACUGCGUACCUUUUGUAUAAUGGGUCAGCGACUUAUAUUCUGUAGCAAGGUUAACCGAAUAGGGGAGCCGAAGGGAAACCGAGUCUUAACUGGGCGUUAAGUUGCAGGGUAUAGACCCGAAACCCGGUGAUCUAGCCAUGGGCAGGUUGAAGGUUGGGUAACACUAACUGGAGGACCGAACCGACUAAUGUUGAAAAAUUAGCGGAUGACUUGUGGCUGGGGGUGAAAGGCCAAUCAAACCGGGAGAUAGCUGGUUCUCCCCGAAAGCUAUUUAGGUAGCGCCUCGUGAAUUCAUCUCCGGGGGUAGAGCACUGUUUCGGCAAGGGGGUCAUCCCGACUUACCAACCCGAUGCAAACUGCGAAUACCGGAGAAUGUUAUCACGGGAGACACACGGCGGGUGCUAACGUCCGUCGUGAAGAGGGAAACAACCCAGACCGCCAGCUAAGGUCCCAAAGUCAUGGUUAAGUGGGAAACGAUGUGGGAAGGCCCAGACAGCCAGGAUGUUGGCUUAGAAGCAGCCAUCAUUUAAAGAAAGCGUAAUAGCUCACUGGUCGAGUCGGCCUGCGCGGAAGAUGUAACGGGGCUAAACCAUGCACCGAAGCUGCGGCAGCGACACUAUGUGUUGUUGGGUAGGGGAGCGUUCUGUAAGCCUGUGAAGGUGUGCUGUGAGGCAUGCUGGAGGUAUCAGAAGUGCGAAUGCUGACAUAAGUAACGAUAAAGCGGGUGAAAAGCCCGCUCGCCGGAAGACCAAGGGUUCCUGUCCAACGUUAAUCGGGGCAGGGUGAGUCGACCCCUAAGGCGAGGCCGAAAGGCGUAGUCGAUGGGAAACAGGUUAAUAUUCCUGUACUUGGUGUUACUGCGAAGGGGGGACGGAGAAGGCUAUGUUGGCCGGGCGACGGUUGUCCCGGUUUAAGCGUGUAGGCUGGUUUUCCAGGCAAAUCCGGAAAAUCAAGGCUGAGGCGUGAUGACGAGGCACUACGGUGCUGAAGCAACAAAUGCCCUGCUUCCAGGAAAAGCCUCUAAGCAUCAGGUAACAUCAAAUCGUACCCCAAACCGACACAGGUGGUCAGGUAGAGAAUACCAAGGCGCUUGAGAGAACUCGGGUGAAGGAACUAGGCAAAAUGGUGCCGUAACUUCGGGAGAAGGCACGCUGAUAUGUAGGUGAGGUCCCUCGCGGAUGGAGCUGAAAUCAGUCGAAGAUACCAGCUGGCUGCAACUGUUUAUUAAAAACACAGCACUGUGCAAACACGAAAGUGGACGUAUACGGUGUGACGCCUGCCCGGUGCCGGAAGGUUAAUUGAUGGGGUCAGCGCAAGCGAAGCUCUUGAUCGAAGCCCCGGUAAACGGCGGCCGUAACUAUAACGGUCCUAAGGUAGCGAAAUUCCUUGUCGGGUAAGUUCCGACCUGCACGAAUGGCGUAAUGAUGGCCAGGCUGUCUCCACCCGAGACUCAGUGAAAUUGAACUCGCUGUGAAGAUGCAGUGUACCCGCGGCAAGACGGAAAGACCCCGUGAACCUUUACUAUAGCUUGACACUGAACAUUGAGCCUUGAUGUGUAGGAUAGGUGGGAGGCUUUGAAGUGUGGACGCCAGUCUGCAUGGAGCCGACCUUGAAAUACCACCCUUUAAUGUUUGAUGUUCUAACGUUGACCCGUAAUCCGGGUUGCGGACAGUGUCUGGUGGGUAGUUUGACUGGGGCGGUCUCCUCCUAAAGAGUAACGGAGGAGCACGAAGGUUGGCUAAUCCUGGUCGGACAUCAGGAGGUUAGUGCAAUGGCAUAAGCCAGCUUGACUGCGAGCGUGACGGCGCGAGCAGGUGCGAAAGCAGGUCAUAGUGAUCCGGUGGUUCUGAAUGGAAGGGCCAUCGCUCAACGGAUAAAAGGUACUCCGGGGAUAACAGGCUGAUACCGCCCAAGAGUUCAUAUCGACGGCGGUGUUUGGCACCUCGAUGUCGGCUCAUCACAUCCUGGGGCUGAAGUAGGUCCCAAGGGUAUGGCUGUUCGCCAUUUAAAGUGGUACGCGAGCUGGGUUUAGAACGUCGUGAGACAGUUCGGUCCCUAUCUGCCGUGGGCGCUGGAGAACUGAGGGGGGCUGCUCCUAGUACGAGAGGACCGGAGUGGACGCAUCACUGGUGUUCGGGUUGUCAUGCCAAUGGCACUGCCCGGUAGCUAAAUGCGGAAGAGAUAAGUGCUGAAAGCAUCUAAGCACGAAACUUGCCCCGAGAUGAGUUCUCCCUGACUCCUUGAGAGUCCUGAAGGAACGUUGAAGACGACGACGUUGAUAGGCCGGGUGUGUAAGCGCAGCGAUGCGUUGAGCUAACCGGUACUAAUGAACCGUGAGGCUUAACCUU
rnacentral:rRNA from 1 species